rnacentral:lncRNA from 1 species
AUGUUCAUUGCAGCAUUAUUCACAAUAGCUAAAAUAAAAGGUCAACCUGAAUGUCCAUCCAUGGACAAACGAAUAAAGAAAAUGUGGUAUACAUACAAAAUAGAAUACCAUUCAGACUUUGGAAAAAGAAACCCUGUCAUUUGCAACAACAUAGAUAAACCUAGAGGGCAUUAUGACAUCAUUCAACUUGAGGAAAAGAACUGAACUAACCCAACUGAUGCGUUUGAGAGAAAAAACUGCACACAUGCAGGUGCCAUGUCCUGCCUGAUUUUUUCACAGCAUGGACCUCUAUAACUGGAAUACCCACUCUUCCACUCAUAGCCAUCACUGCACCAGGCCAGCUCCCAUAACACCAUGGCUCAGGCCAUUCUCUGAAAAUUCAGGCUUCAGGUCAGCCAUAGCAUCAGACCAGCCCCAACAGACCUAGUAUUCAGAGUGGCCCCUCUGUACCCAAGCUCCAGGUCUUCCUUUGCAUCAGGCCAACCCAAGGCUCUAGUCUGGUCUUGUGGUACUAGGUUCCAAGCCCACCUAAGUACCAGAAUGGACCCCAGAAACCCAGCCUCCAAACCUGCUCCAGCUCUAGGCUGGCCCCAAUGAUCCCAGG